GACGAACGCUGGCGGCGUGCUUAACACAUGCCAGUCGUACGGUAAGGCCCUUUCGGGGGUACACGAGUGGCGAACGGGUGAGUAACACGUGAGUAACCUGCCCACAACUUUGGGAUAACGCUAGGAAACUGGUGCUAAUACUGGAUAUGUGCUCCUGCUGCAUGGUGGGGGUUGGAAAGCUCCGGCGGUUGUGGAUGGACUCGCGGCCUAUCAGCUUGUUGGUGGGGUAGUGGCCUACCAAGGAGGCGACGGGUAGCCGGCCUGGGAGGGUGACCGGCCACAUUGGGACUGAGAUACGGCCCAGACUCCUACGGGGGGCAGCAGUGGGGAAUAUUGCACAAUGGGCGCAAGCCUGAUGCAGCAACGCCGCGGGCGGGAUGACGGCCUUCGGGUUGUAAACCGCUUUCAGCAGGGACGAAGCUUUGUGUGACGGUACCUGCAGAAGAAGCACCGGCUAACUACGUG
rnacentral:rRNA from 1 species